rnacentral:tRNA from 1 species
UGCCCUGUCGUUUAAUAGGCUAAGACGUUGCCCUUUGGAGGCAAAGUUCCAGGAUCGUACCCUGGUGGGGCAA